GGGCGUUUAGCGCAGUGGUAGCGCGUAUGCUUUGCAAGCACCGUGUACGUUAAAGUGUACUGUGCCAUGUGUAUAAGGUCCAGGGUUCAAUCCCCUGAACGUCCA
rnacentral:tRNA from 1 species